UAUCGGUGUUUCCCCCUCUUCUUUCCAAUCACUCUCAAACCACCACCAAGAAUGCCAUUCUCAAACCCACCACCAUCCACCACACGAUUUUGAAACCCUCCUUUCCCAAAAAAUGCGAUCUUUUAUUUUAUAAAUCCCCUUUUAGGUGUGGUUUUUUUAUCAUUUGUGGACUGACCGUCGCUUGUUUUUUUUUUAUUUUUUUUAACAAAAUCCCCUUUUUAUGAUGCACAUUUUUAAUUAUAUUGUCCUAAUUUUUUUAUCAGUUGAUAUGAUACACUUGAAGAAAUCACUAGCACAAUGGGUGCAUGCAACCUAUUGGAAAUUUGAUGGUGAUUCAUGCCAAAUUAAAAUGAUUGGUUUAACUCAAAAGCCACCUGAUGGAUCUGAAAGUAGCAUGAGUGUGGUUGCUCUUAUGUAAAUGAUGCCUUUUGUCACAUAGUAAAGAUGUAAAUGUCUCUUUAUCUUUGUUAGAAUCUUUCAUACUAUAAUCUUUACUCUUUAUCUUUAUUACAAUCUUUCAUACUAUAAUAUUUAAUUUUCAUAUAGUUCAUAGGAUCUGAAAUAUUCUUUCUUAGCUUAAGUUUUGAAACAUUAUAGUUACAUUCUUGAUAAUAACAGGUUCAACUUAUUUUUCAGUCUUGAACCAACUAAUAGCCAAGAGGGUAUGAGGGCAUCUUGAAUCAACAUGAGUUUCUUAAGGUGAAGUGAAAGGAAGCCAUAGUUAGAGACAUAAACCCUUUAAAUGUCAUUUUACAAGAAAGAGUAAACAAACUAUUCCUUUUGAAUUAGUCCUUAUCAUCAUAUUAUGCAUGAGCUUCAGGUGCUGGAACAAUUUUAAUUGUUAAGAUAUUAUCACCAACUAUUAUGCGUGAUGCCAUCUAAAUCAGUAUCUUAAUCGUUGAGUGUCAAUAGAGCUUGUGUGUUUGUUAGAAAAAUUAUUCAAGGACAGAACUCUGCAUUGUAGCUUACGAAGCUUGUUCACAUACCAUAUUUAUUACAACAAAUAAGAAUUAUAUUUCAUUUUACAACUUUUGAUUAUUAAUUAUGAAUGUUUUAAUUUUAAGUGUUUUAUCUCAUGUUCGUAUUCAUGGCUCUUUGGAGAUUGCAUGAGCUGUUUAAAUGGAUAAGUAGCUCUCUGAUUGAUGAUGGCUUGAUUCAAAAGGUAUGACAACCAUUAUAUGUAUGAAAAGAGUGCAAAGACAUGAAUUCAAAGAACUGAAAAUUGAAUGGGAAAAAAUGAGAAGGGAAAGGGAUGAAGUUCGUGAUGUGGUAAAACAAUUGAUGGAAAGCUUAAACUUUCAGCCGAAGCCAUAUACUAGAGAUCAAGUUCAUGAAGAUGAUGUGGCUGAUGAUAUGUCUGAUGACGUGAAGAAUUAGAUUAAGAGUGACAAGUGUAAUAGUGUGACUUACUUUUUGUAGUAUUUUGAGUUAGGAUAUUGACUUUGUAUGCAAGAAUUGAAAGGGAUUUAUCCUCCCCUUUUGUAUGUGUCUGAAUCUGUAUGAUGACGGUGAAGAUUAAUUCACUUUUGAUACAUGCAGGUGUAGGUAGUAGUGAUAACUUGGUCUUAGUCUUGGUUAUGUUUUGGUUGAUUAUGUAUUUUUGGAUAAGUAGUUGGUAAUACUUAAAUAUAAAUAUAUUAUGUU